GUGGGUAUGGCUCAGUGGUAGAGUGCAUGGUUAGCAUGCAUGAGGUCCUGGGUUCAAUCCCCAGUUCCUCCA
rnacentral:tRNA from 1 species